CAAUAAUUUAAUUUUAAAAAUUAUUGUAAGAAAUCAUUAAUAUUUUAAGGGAUGAGCUUUAAAAUAAAAUUUUAUAAAUAACUGUUAUUAAGUAAUAAUUGUAAGCUUAGAAUUAGCUAUCAAUAGAAAUUAUGUUUUAAUUUAUUUUUUAUUUAAUAUUAUUUAUUAUUUAUUUUAAAUUUUUUAUUAAAAUAUAAAUUUUAAUUUUAUAAAUUUAUUAAUAAUGAUAAAAUUAGUAAAUAUUUAUAAUUAUAUAAAUAAAUCUUUAAUUGAUUGGUUUUUAUAAUUAAUUCGGCAAAUUUUGUGCUCACCUGUUUAUCAAAAACAUGUCUUUUUGGUUAUUUAAUAUAAAGUCUGACCUGCCCACUGAAUUUAUUUUGAAGGGCCGCAGUAUUUUGACUGUGCAAAGGUAGCAUAAUCAUUAGUCUUUUAAUUGAAGGCUGGUAUGAAUGGUUGGAUGAGGUACAAGCUGUGUCAUAAAAAUUAGUUUUUGAAUUUACCUUUUUAGUCAAAAGGCUAAAAUAGUAUUAAAAGACGAGAAGACCCUAUAGAGCUUUAUAUAAUUUUUAUUUAAAUUAUUAAGAUUUUUUAAAUUUAAUUAUUUCAUUAUAUUUUGUUGGGGUGACAAUAAAAUUUAUAAAACUUUUAUUUUUAUUUACCAUUAAUAUAUGUUUAUAUGAUCCAGUUUUAUUGAUUAUAAAUUUAAGUUACCUUAGGGAUAACAGCGUAAUUUUUUUUGAGAGUUCUUAUCGACAAAAAAGAUUGCGACCUCGAUGUUGGAUUAAGAGUAAUUUUGGGUGUAGAAGUUCAAAGUUUAAGUCUGUUCGACUUUUAAAUUCUUACAU
rnacentral:rRNA from 1 species